rnacentral:rRNA from 1 species
UACGUAGGGGGCAAGCGUUGUCCCGAUUUAUUGGGCGUAAAGAGCGUGUAGGCGGCCAGGUAGGUCAGCUGUGAAAACUCGAGGCUCAACCUCGAGACGCCGGUUGAAACCAUCUGGCUAGAGUCCGGAAGAGGAGAGUGGAAUUCCUGGUGUAGCGGUGAAAUGCGCAGAUAUCAGGAAGAACACCCGUGGCUAAGGCGGCUCUCUAGUACGGUACUGACGCUGAGACGCGAAAGCGUGGGGAGCGAACAGG